rnacentral:rRNA from 1 species
AGGUCACUGCUAUCGGUGUUCGAUUAAGCCAUGCGAGUCGAGAGGGGUCAUGCCCUCGGCGGACUGCUCAGUAACACGUGGACAACCUAACCAAAAGUCUGGGAUAACCCCGGGAAACUGGGGAUAAUACCGGAUAGGUCACCCUUCCUGGAAUGGUGGGUGGCUGAAACUUCAGGGGCUUUUGGGUGGGUCUGCGGCUGAUUAGGUUGUUGCCGGUGUAACGUACCGUCAAGCCAGUUAUCAGUACGGGUUGUGGGAGCAAGAGCCCGGAGAUGGAUUCUGAGACACGAAUCCAGGCCCUACGGGGCGCAGCAGGCGCGAAAACUCUACAAUGCAGGCAACUGCGAUAGGGGAACAUCGAGUGAUACUCAUAUUGGGUGUCUGUCCUCCCGUCUAAAAAACGGGAGUUAGCAAGGGCCGGGCAAGACCGGUGCCAGCCGCCGCGGUAAUACCGGCGGCUCGAGUGGUGGCCGAUAUUAUUGAGUCUAAAGGGUCCGUAGCCGGCUUGGCAAGUCUCUUGGGAAAUCCGGCGGCUUAACCGUCGGUCGUCCGGGAGAUACUACCUUGCUUGGGACUGGGAGAGGCGUGAGGUACUCAGGGGGUAGGAGUGAAAUCCUGUAAUCCUUUGGGGACCACCGGUGGCGAAGGCGUCACGCCAGAACAGGUCCGACGGUGAGGGACGAAAGCUAGGGGCACGAACCGGAUUAGAUACCCGGGUAGUCCUAGCCGUAAACGAUGCUCGCUAGGUGUCACGACAAUCGUGAAUUGUCGUGGUGCCGUAGGGAAGCCGUGAAGCGAGCCACUUGGGAAGUACGACCGCAAGGUUGAAACUUAAAGGAAUUGGCGGGGGAGCACCACAACGGGUGGAGCCUGCGGUUUAAUUGGAUUCAACGCCGGG